UAACGGCGAGUGAAGCGGCAACAGCUCAAAUUUGAAAUCUGGCGCAAGCCCGAGUUGUAAUUUGUAGAGGAUGCUUCUGGGUAGCGGCCGGUCUAAGUUCCUUGGAACAGGACGUCAUAGAGGGUGAGAAUCCCGUAUGUGACUGGCUUGCACCCUCCACGUAGCUCCUUCGACGAGUCGAGUUGUUUGGGAAUGCAGCUCUAAAUGGGAGGUAAAUUUCUUCUAAAGCUAAAUACCGGCCAGAGACCGAUAGCGCACAAGUAGAGUGAUCGAAAGAUGAAAAGCACUUUGGAAAGAGAGUUAAAAAGCACGUGAAAUUGUUGAAAGGGAAGCGCCCGCAACCAGACUUUGCGGCAGUGUUCGGCCGGUCUUCUGACCGGUUUACUCGCUGUCGUGAGGCCAUCAUCGUCUGGGACCGCUGGAUAAGACCUUAGGAAUGUAGCUUCCCUCGGGAAGUGUUAUAGCCUCUGGUGAUGCAGCGCGUCUCGGGCGAGGUCCGCGCUUCGGCAAGGAUGAUGGCGUAAUGGUUGUCGGCGGCCCGUCUUGAAACACGGACCAAGGAGUCUAACAUCUAUGCGAGUGUUCGGGUGUCAAACCCCUACGCGUAAUGAAAGUGAACGGAGGUGGGAACUUUUUGUGCACCAUCGACCGAUCCUGAUGUCCUCGGAUGGAUUUGAGUAAGAGCAUAGCUGUUGGGACCCGAAAGAUGGUGAACUAUGCCUGAAUAGGGUGAAGCCAGAGGAAACUCUGGUGGAGGCUCGCAGCGGUUCUGACGUGCAAAUCGAUCGUCAAAUUUGG
rnacentral:rRNA from 1 species